rnacentral:rRNA from 1 species
UACAGACGGUCCAAACGUUAUUCGGAAUCACUGGGCUUAAAGAGUUCGUAGGCGGUCAGACAAGUGGGGUGUGAAAGCCCUCGGCUCAACCGAGGAAUUGCGCUCCAAACUACCUGACUUGAGGAGGCUAGAGGUAAGCGGAACUGAUGGUGGAGCGGUGAAAUGCGUUGAUAUCAUCAGGAACACCGGAGGCGAAGGCGGCUUACUGGGGCCUUUCUGACGCUGAGGAACGAAAGCUAGGGGAGCGAACGGG